ACUACGGGUGGCAGCAGUGAGGAAUAUUGGUCAAUGGGCGAGAGCCUGAACCAGCCAAGUCGCGUGAAGGAUGACUGCCCUAUGGGUUGUAAACUUCCUUUAUAUGGGAAUAAAACAGGGUAUGCAUACCCUCUUGUAUGUACCAUAUGAAUAAGGAUCGGCUAACUCCGUUCCAGCAGCCGCGGUAAUACGGAGGAUCCGAGCGUUAGCCGGAUUUAUUGGGUUUAAAGGGAGCGUAGAUGGGUUGUUAAGUCAGUUGGGAAAGUUUGAGGCUCAACCGUAAAAUUGCAAUUGAUACUGGCAGCCUUGAGUACAGUUGAGGUAGGCGGAAUUCGUGGUGUAGCGGUGAAAUGCUUAGAUAUCACGAAGAACUCCGAUUGCGAAGGCAGCUUACUAAACUGCCACUGACAUUGAUGCUCGAAAGUGUGGGUAUCAAACAGGAUUAGAUACCCUUGUAGUC
rnacentral:rRNA from 1 species